rnacentral:rRNA from 1 species
CGUAAGGCGCCGAAUGAGUCAUUAAAAAAUUAACAUCAUCCGAUCCCUAGUCGGCAUAGUUUAUGGUUAAGACUACGACGGUAUCUGAUCGUCUUCGAUCCCCCAACUUUCGUUCUUGAUUAAUGAAAACAUCCUUGGCAAAUGCUUUUCGCAGUAGUUAGUCUUCAAUAAAUCCAAGAAUUUCACCUCUGACAAUUGAAUACUAAUGCCCCCCAACUAUCCCUAUUAAUCAUUACGUCGACCCUAGAAACCAACAAAAUAGGAUCAAACGUCCUAUUCAUUAUUCCAUGCUAAUGUAUUCAAGCGUUAGCCUGUCUUUAAACACUUACUUAAUUUUUUAC